rnacentral:lncRNA from 1 species
AGCUCCAGGAUGUUGUGUGAAGUCCUGCUCUCAUCGCUAUGGUUCCUAUUUGUUAUCUUCUGGUUCGAGACCAUAAGUGUGUGGUUGUUCCUGUCCAUGUUCUAUCAGGACAGGGCAUUUUACCACUGGGGAGAUGGCGUAUUUGCAGAUGAUCCUGGACAGAUGUUCUACAUGUUGAGCUGAGUUGAUGCCCCUAUGCAGACAGACGUGCAGACCUGAGGCGGGUAAAAAUGAAGUCUAGUGGAACUAUAGACAUUUGUUGCAGUUAUUGGGCGAAAGAAAACCUAAUAUGCGGUAGCUGCUUUUCUUUGCACUGACUGCCUUGCCCAGUGUUGCGCAUGGUACUUGCUAAUAAACAUGUAUAAAUGUAAGCCA